rnacentral:rRNA from 1 species
GUGUCAGCAGCCGCGGUAAGACAGAGGGUGCAAACGUUGUUCGGAAUUACUGGGCGUAAAGCGCGUGUAGGCGGCUAAGUAAGUCGGGCGUGAAAUCCCACGGCUCAACCGUGGAAGUGCACUCGAAACUGCAUAGCUAGAGUCCUGGAGAGGAAGGUGGAAUGCUUGGUGUAGAGGUGAAAUUCGUAGAUAUCAAGCGGAACACCGGUGGCGAAGGCGGCCUUCUGGACAGUGACUGACGCUGAGACGCGAAAGCGUGGGGAGCAAACAGGAUUAGAUACCCUGGUAGUCC